rnacentral:tRNA from 1 species
CCGAUGGUAGCUCAAUCUGGUAGAGCACUGAGAAAAACAAAUCCUGACCGGGGUUUUAACUGCAGCUUAUUCGUAGGGGACGCAGUUGUUAUUGGUUCGAAUCCAGUCCAUCGGU